rnacentral:rRNA from 1 species
UACAGAGGUCUCAAGCGUUGUUCGGAUUCAUUGGGCGUAAAGGGUGCGUAGGUGGCGCCGUAAGUCGGGUGUGAAAUUUCGAGGCUUAACCUCGAAACUGCAUUCGAUACUGCGGUGCUUGAGGACUGGGAGAGGAGACUGGAAUUCAUGGUGUAGCAGUGAAAUGCGUAGAGAUCAUGAGGAAGACCAGUGGCGAAGGCGGGUCUCUGGACAGUUCCUGACACUGAGGCACGAAGGCCAGGGGAGCAAACGGG